AGUUAAUCGCGUACAGCAGGACCAAAGGUGACAGAGUCCGAGCUGACAACUGUUUUAAAACAACUAUUUCAUCCUCCUCUCGCGGUUGCCCCUCAUCAUACUCGCGUGCAGAGCUGUCCUCCUCAUCCACAAACACCCGCAUGAUAUCAGCAAAUGAAGGGAUGGCUGUGAUUCUACAGCGGGGUUGACAUAUUAAAGGGCACAACUGGACAAGUUUGCUUCAAAUGCAGGGUUCUUCCUGUUUACCUGCAUUCCUGCCUGACACACCUGGAAGCUGCUGGUAAUCAGCUCACCUCUGUGCAACUGGUUGCUUUACAGCUGAAGAAAUCCCUCACUUCUGGGAAAAGGAGCAUAACCUGGAACAUUAAGGGAGACAUGGAGCAAACAUGAGGAGACAGGCUGAGGAGACAAGGAUGAAACACAAGGAGAGGAACAAAGGAACAGGUUGAGUUUAACCUUGUGAUCAAAGGCAAACCAUCACCCGUUACGCCAAACGAAGACCACGAAGAACCGGAACCGAUAGACUGGACUACUUACAGUGAACAACCAGUUCCUGGCCGUGCUGCCGGACCAUCUGUCUCCUCCAUGGAUGACAACGUCAUCCCAAUGGAGAUAGACUAAAAGGUUCAGCAUACCAAAAGUGAAAGAAGAGGAUGACAGUUCUACUUGGGCUGUUACAGUUGAUCCUGCAACAAUUUUGGGUCACUGUAUUUGGGUCACUGUUCAUCUGAAUAAAAAUAUGUAUUGGUC